GACAGGAGACAAAUGGUUAGUAAGUGUGGGGAGAGGGUUCAGAGUUAAAGUUAUAACUUGAGGGACGAGGAGGGCAGCGAGCUAGCGGUACAGGAGGAGGUGCCCCUCGAACCUGGUGCGUCCCAAGUGCAAGUGCGGCGGCGGCAAGUAGUGCAGGAAGUGGCUCGAAGACAGCCCCAGGCCGCGGCCGCUGCGCCUCGCCAGCGGCUCCCCCAAGUUGGCUCCCCCGGCCCGGCCCCGCGGGUUCAAGUUCAGGCGCGUCGGCGGGUCGGACGGGUAGAGCAGCGGGAAGAGGACGAAGAGGCAGGGACGUCCAGAGUCGGGACGGCUCGACGAGCUGAGGGGGCAAGAGGAGUUGAUGAGAGUGUAGAACCGCAGAGGCUGAUGCCCACGCUAGGGACGCGUCUCCACGCUGACCGUCCGCUCGCGGCUAGACUUGUGGAAAGUCGUCCUACUCGAGCCGGAGAGACCGAAGAGGAAAGUGCGUCAGUUCAGGUUGCGGUGCCAGUUGCGAGUUCAUUUGAUGAAUGGAAAUAAGUUCCUCGUCGUCCUCGUUGUUGUUCUUCUUCACCAAGUUCACUCGUUGUUCUCGUCGUCGUCGUCGCCGUUGUUGUUCGUCCAACUCCUGCCUAUGUUAACCUCCUUCAUGCCCGUCUUCGUUCAAUUCCCCUCGCUCUUGGGCGCCUCGAUGAUGUUCACGUGGAUGUUGUUAACGAGGUACUUCUUCUUUCACCUCGCGAGAGAGCGGCUGCCGGCGUAGUGCGUCUAGCAGAUGUUCCCGCGUGUACUGGUGGGCUUCGGGGAGAGGUGCGCGGCGUUGAGGAGGCCGACGCGCCGCCAGCAACGCCUCCUAGUAUGGUUGCCGAGCCUCGUGAGACCGGGCUGCGGGCUCUUAAGUAGGCAGUGAAAGCCUCUGCUACUCCGGCUGUUCGGGCUCUGGUUCGCGGCCUUCCUCGUACCACUGUUGCUCCCGUCAAGUCCGCCGUGGCCGCCGACGCCCUUCGGGCACGCGCUCGGGUCCGAGCACCACGUCUGCGACUCGCUAUAUCUGUAUGAGCUGCUGCCGAAGGCCACCUCCUUCAUGCCCGUCUUCCAACAGUUCCCGUUAGGGUUGGGGUCCUCGAUGAUGUUCACGUGUUGCCACCCGACGGGCCACGCGUUCGUACACCUCGCCCGGAGCGUGCUGUUGGCGCGCCACUAGUGGUGGAUGCUCCCAUUCGUGUCGGUGCUGCACGGCUAGCCGGCCCCGGCGCGCGACGGCCGCAGUAGAAGGAGGCUGUCGAGCCGGCAGUAGACCGGACGGCGGCGGCACGUCCGGGGCACGUGGGAGCUCUACGAGCGGCCUGUGGGUCCGAUGCGCCGGUUCCUGCUCGGGGCCCUGCUGUACAAGCAGCUCAGCGAGGAGACGAUCGAUCCGUCCGAUCCGGCGCCGGGAAGCAAGGGGGACACCGCAAAUGUAAUCUGUGUAGAUGUGUAUUGCAGAGGAUGGGUAAAGCCCCAAAGGAGAGGGUUCGCUAUUCUAACCGCCGAUGCUAGAAGCUGUUGAGGAGGGGCCUAAACUGGAUCUCAAGGGACGAUAAGGUAGAUUCUCUCUAGUAGUGGCAUAAUCCUCUGUUCGUAUCUGGACCUAGCGCAUAAGCAACCGAAGAUCCCUCUACCGCUCGCUCUUAAGAUGAUGAAACACUCAACCGUAGCUACGACGAUUCUUGUCUCGCCUGGACCCGCCACCGGGUGUGCCGCAACUGUACCUUCUUUUCUUCCAGCCUCUUUGAUUCAGGGGCCCACCGCCACCGAGAUGUAGAUUGUGGCUCCUGGACCCUCUGUUUAAGUUUAUAGAAUUGGAUGUGCAUCUACUUGUCCCCCUGCAGCAGAAUCUCCUUCUGGAACUCCUUGAUCUCUUCCUACGGCUUAGGUACCGUGACCGGUCCUAAGUAUGGAGUGCGUGAAAGUCGGUACCUCGGAAGAAACCUCGGUACUCCAGGCGCACCUUAGAACGGGUUCUUCACUUUAAAUCUCGUUAGUUUCUGUUGGAGAAAAGUCACGUUGAUAUGACGAACCGUCUAACCGUUGCACACUACGCACUGCCGGGCACCAAUAAAGCCUAACACAACUAGGUCCAUAUAACU
rnacentral:rRNA from 1 species